UACGGAGGGUGCAAGCGUUGCUCGGAAUUAUUGGGCGUAAAGGGUAGGUAGGUGGUCUUAUUUGUCUGGGGUGAAAGCCUUGAGCUUAACUCAAGAAGUGCCCCAGAAACGGUAAGACUAGAGUCCUGGAGAGGGUCGUGGAAUUCCCGGUGUAGCGGUGAAAUGCGUAGAGAUCGGGAGGAACACCGGCGGCGAAGGCGGCUGCCUGGACCGGCCCUGACGCUGAGGCGCGAAAGCUAGGGGAGCAAACAGG
rnacentral:rRNA from 1 species